GGCCGGGUGGCGCAAUGGUAGCGCGCUGCCUUCCGGUAGUGGAUGUGGCAGUGGUUGCGUGUUCGAGUCACGUCUCGGUCG
rfam:Aspergillus kawachii IFO 4308 DNA, contig: scaffold00020.